rnacentral:sRNA from 1 species
AUUCCAGGAAGCGUUUGCACAUCCUGGCCCCAGAAGAUUUUGCGUAGCCUCACCAAGAGAAGAAGUUGGAAAGAAAAAAAAAGAAGUUGGCAAGGCAUCCAGAGGAGACCCCCCCCAGCACCUGGGUUCUCUGCCAGGGGAGAGAGUUAUGAAGAAGACUUGAGCAGGCAGUCCAGAGCUGAUACAGCUGCUCCAAUCACCAGAGAUGCAAUCUCCUGCUAGAUGUCUUCACAUCUACCUUUCUAUGUCACAUGUGCAAGAUGGUUGCUCUGCCUUCAGACAUCACAUCUACAUUCCAGGCAGAAAGGAGAAGGAAAGAGCAAAAGAUGUGUUCUGAACAAAUCCAUCUUAAAAACAAACAAGGGGAGGGGUAGCAGGAGAAAAUUUAAAAAAAAGAAGAAGAAAAACAAAAACAGGAAAGCCGUUGUUUCCCUAAAAGCCCCAUCAAGCCGACUUCUACUGGUGACUCAUUACCCAGUCAUGUGGCCACCCCUGGAUUCAAGGCAGUCUGAGGAGGUGAGUGUUUCAAAGAGGCACAUGGAUGCCACAGACAAAAUCAAGUUUCCAUGGUUGAAGGAGAAGAGGACGAUGGAGUUUGGGGAGGCAGCAGGCUACGUCUGCCACAGAAGAUAUAAAGAUAUGGAGCCACACGAGAAGAUGGGGGAGGCUGCCAAAAAAGUCCACUGGGUACAGGUGAGGAGCAGGUGACAUUGGAGUUGCUCCAUCUGAGGAGCCCGCACCUGCAAUGGCUUGUGCUCCUGCUCCUGUGGGUGUAGGCACAAGGCUGAUGCCGAGAGAGUGAGUUGUUUCUGUUGGGGUUCAGAACACAAUACCCCAAAGUAUGGCGAUGAGUACUUAACUAAAGGACAUUGGAAGGCCUCAGAAGCAGCCUCAGAUCCAAGGUCCCUCUGACCUGCUCCUGCCCUCCUGUCUCUCUCGUCCCUCGUGCUCCCCUGAAGUGAGUCAUAGAAACCAGAAUCCUCUUCCCCACGGUAGGUCCUAGAAACUAGAACCCUUUUUCCCCGAAGCAAAAGCCAUAAAAACUGGAAUUAUUACUCUAAACUCUCCUUGACUUUUUGUCCAGAAGAUGGCC